AAGGCAUAACGUUUGAGGUCAAGGAAAGUUUGACUUAUCGAAUUUUUCUAGGUGGAGCAAGCGCAUCAAAAGUGUCAUCAAUCGACAUCUUGAAAUACAAGCAGACAAAGACGAAUCGAACUGGAUUCAAGGCACGUGGGAUGACACAGGGCAAACUCAUUUGAAAGCAUUGCCCUAUGGUAACACUGAGAACGUCAAUCCUCACACCCAUAAUAGGAUCAUAACCAUAAUGCAUACACCACCACUUCAAUGAGUGCAGCUUUCUCAGUGGAAUUCCAUGUAACCUGGAUUGUCGCCCAUUGUCAGAUACGGUUCGACGGCGCACGGAUGUAAAAAUAUCAGGUAUAUACGCUCCUUUGGCAAUGUCAACUUUCAUUGGAAUCUCCAAGAAGCAGGUGAAUCUGUUAGAGGCACCAUUCCGGUCAAACUGUCAUACCACAUGGCCGAAGGGGAAGCCAUACAAUGCCUAUCUUAGUGAACAUGACCGCUACUCUGAGGAGAGCUGCCGGAAAGUUUGCAUCAGCUACAAUAUCAUGAGACUAUGUAACUGUCUCGAGAUGUAUAAGGGCACAGACAUUCAGAAACUACUGGACGCAAACAGUGUUUGCGUGGACUACAAAGAAGGGACGGCCUGUCGAGACAAAUUUGUACAAAAUCCUGGAGGAAUCACGGAUGCGUGCGACUGUCCGAAGCGUUGUGAAGAGGUUACCUACAAACGAUCGGUAUCAAGGGUUGCUUGGACGCAGACUCUCCGUUCAGGAGGCAUCGACCAGGAACAGGCGACUCCCCUCAGUAAUAUCGUUAUUUAUUUGCAGAGCGCGAUGGUCACUGCGAUCACUGAAAAAGAGGAAAUGAGUGCUAUUUCGGCAUUGUCAAAUGUGGGUGGAUUUCUCAACAUGUUUACAGGAACUUCGUUUCUUAUGAUCUACGAGGCUUUUGGUAUAUUCGUCAUGUGGUUUUACAAGGUGUUUUCUGGAUAUCGACGUAAAGAAAGAAAGCUACCAUUUAUCGAGUCUUUAAAUCUUAAAUACUGAUCUUGUGCUAUCAAAAGUACUCGCUUGACCCUACCUAUUAGCAGUCGUCUUGAACAGACAAAUUCCACGAACAAUACAACUAUUCCACAAUUUAGGGCACCUGUAAUCGUAGGUUAGACAGCCUUUAUCGUCGAAUAUGUGUUUAAUGGAAAUCGAAUCCGACCGUAGUAUCUACAGGGUCGUGGGGCUAGCGUUUAAGUUAGCGUUGCAUGUUAAUAACUCGUCCACGUACCUAGGAUUAGCGACUGUAUGUAGCGAUAAUUUUUGUCCAGCCGUAAAAUUUCAGUGAUGAAUUUAUUGCUAUAUUUAUUGUUAGUGGCUUUUUUUUUUUCUUAUUACAGACCUAUAAACUGAUUCGGGUUCGGUUGAUAGCGUACAUGGAAUAAAGGAAUGAAUAAAAAACGAAGAUGAAAGACAAAAUAACGGCUCGCCCUAUACGUAGUUGAGCAAUGCGGCCGAUUUUCGAAACCGUGAGAGGAGAUCACUGCAAGAACACACCCAUCGCUCAUUAGACUUGUAAACGUGACUUCGAGAGCCAGGCGCGAAGUCUUCCGCCACGAAUAUCGGUUCAUCUGGCAUACAUGGCUAUUCUAUUCUCUGUAUUAGAAC